rnacentral:rRNA from 1 species
UACGUAGGGACCAAGCGUUGUCCGGAAUCAUUGGGCGUAAAGAGCGUGUAGGCGGCUUGUUAAGUCUUGCGUGAAAUCUCGGGGCUCAACCCCGAGCGGUCGUGAGAAACUGGCAGGCUAGAGUGCGGGAGAGGAGAGUGGAAUUCCUGGUGUAGCGGUGAAAUGCGCAGAUAUCAGGAAGAACACCCGUGGCGAAGGCGGCUCUCUGGAACGCAACUGACGCUGAGACGCGAAAGCGUGGGGAGC